AUUGAACGCUGGCGGCAGGCCUAACACAUGCAAGUCGAGCGGAUGAAGAGAGCUUGCUCUCUGAUUUAGCGGCGGACGGGUGAGUAAUGCCUAGGAAUCUGCCUGGUAGUGGGGGAUAACGUUCCGAAAGGAACGCUAAUACCGCGUACGUCCUACGGGAGAAAGCAGGGGACCUUCGGGCCUUGCGCUAUCAGAUGAGCCUAGGUCGGAUUAGCUAGUUGGUGAGGUAAUGGCUCACCAAGGCGACGAUCCGUAACUGGUCUGAGAGGAUGAUCCGUAACACUGGAACUGAGACACGGUCCAGACUCCUACGGGAGGCAGCAGUGGGGAAUAUUGGACAAUGGGCGAAAGCCUGAUCCAGCCAUGCCGCGUGUGUGAAGAAGGUCUUCGGAUUGUAAAGCACUUUAAGUUGGGAGGAAGGGCAGUAAGUUAAUACCUUGCUGUUUUGACGUUACCGACAGAAUAAGCACCGGCUAACUCUGUGCCAGCCGCCGCUGUAACAC
rnacentral:rRNA from 1 species